rnacentral:tRNA from 2 species
GGGGAUGUAGCUCAGUUGGCUAGAGCGCUUGACUGGCAGUCAAGAGGUCGGCGGUUCGAGUCCGCUCUUCUCCACUA